UGAGCCAUAACCGAAUCUUCGGGACGCUUCCUAGGGAACUGACUGAGCUACGUCUCGAGCGUUUCAACAUUAGUUACAAUCGUCUAUGCGGAAAAAUCCCACGUGGUGGUCAACUUCAGACCUUUAAAUCAUAUGAAUUCGCUGAGAACCGCUGUCUUUGUGGGUCCCCACUUAAGAAGGCUUGUUAAGUUUGUUUUAAUGGCGUGACUACAAAUAACUACGUCUUAUCUGUACGAUGAGGAUGUGUUAAAUAUCACUGCUAUUAAAGAAUUGUUCCUUAGAUGAAUUAAUGCUGUUGUAUCAUUUGUUCUUUUUUAAGAAUAACAUUCUUUUUGCUUUCAAAAGUGGUAUAUUUUGAUCAAAAAAAAAAGAAGAAAGUGGUGGGUAUCUCUAGUAUCCACUUGUUUGGCCGUUGUAUUUGUUUCUAUCUUGACACACAGCAACCGUUUUAAAGUUCAUACACUACACUCCACUAUUAACGCAAUUUUUCACACUGUUUUUCUUUGGAAAGUAAGUCAUGUAUUUUGUUAGACUUGACGUAAAAAUAAUAACAUCAUACAUGCUAUUCAUAUCUCUAACAUCUAACAAAUUUGUCAUCAUCUGAUAUAAGUUCUCUGUGGGUACGUACACAAGUUAAUAUAGUGCAUGCAUGAAAAGGUAACCAAAGAUACUCUUUGUAGUAUCACGAGUUAAGUUCAAGUGUUACGAUUAGACUGAUUUUUGAGAGCCGUACAGAAUCCGUCCGAGGGAUCUAUGUGAUUGCAUCCCCAUGCAUUGAUUGAAUUGUUCUUUUUAUUUGCUUUAACUGAAACCUAAAAAAGUCUUGUACAUGUAGGAGGGGUACACGCUUCGAUGGUUGGGUCGCUUCAUCCAACAGAGUUGCAACACUUUUUCCUAUUUCCAUACUAUGCAGUUGCUGCAUUCUGUGAAGGGAGACUAAAGCAUGGAACUGUAGUGAAAAAAACAUCAUUGUCACAAAUUUUUAAAAAUAUUGGAUGCUGACUGUAUGAGUGUGAUUGGUGUUGAUAGGAUGGUGGAUACAUACAGAAACACUCUGUCUUGGAGCUUCAAAAAGUAUGGCUAGGCUCAUAAGUGAGUUCAUAUCAUGCAUGCACACAAAAAUGAAAUAUGAACAUGCAUUUUAACAACCCGAAACUCCUCUCCUCCUGGGAUCCUCAAACCGACUGUUGUACUAGCUGGACCGGCAUUGAGUGCACUAACGGCCGCGUCACAUUAUUCUCUAUGGCCAACGACGACAGUGUCGUCGGUCAGAUCCCGGACCAGAUCGGCGACCUCCCUGAACUCCGUACACUCGAAAUGAGUUCCAUAAAUCUAACCGGAAACAUACCACGCACCAUCACCAAACUCAAGCACCUCGUCCUCAUCUUCUUAAGCUGGAACAGACUAUCCGGUCCAAUUCCUGAUUACAUCAGCGAGCUCAAAAGCGUUACGUUCUUGGACAUCUCCUUUAACAAGUUUACCGGUCCUAUUCCCGGUUGGCUUACUCAGAUGCCGAAGCUUCAGACCUUUCAGGCAAACAACAAUUCGCUAACCGGUCCUAUACCGAACUCUUUCGGUUCCUUUGUAGGCAACGCCCCUAAUCUUUUCUUGCCUUACAAUAAGCUCUCAGGUAUACCAAUAUUUUUUUUUCUCAAUUGUAAUAUUUCAUAAUAUAAGUAGUUUAGGAUUUUUUUUAUAUUACAAAAUAUAAUUAAGUAGUUUUGACAUCUGUAUGCACUUUUUACAUUUAUGUCGCCAAUUAUGCAAACAUUUUUAUGAUCAGUUAUAAGAACUAAGACGGUUAAAUGUUUUCUUAAUCAUUGGACUUUCACUAAAAGACCUAGAGCAUCAUUAUUGGUAAGCUUUAACAUAGUCUCACCAUUAUAUUAUUGAUUAUUUUCAGCACCAUUGUUAUUAUUAUUAUUAUUGAUAAUUUAGUAAAUCAUACUCCUUUUGUUUCUCAAAAAGUGUCAGUUUGAUAAAUUUCAAGCCGAACAUCCAAUAACAUUGCUCUGGCAGGAAAAAUACCGGAGUCAUUAUCAAAGAUCGACUUUCAAGCAAUAGUUUUGAAGGGAAAUGGUUUCACAGGAGAUGGUUCGAUGUUUUUCGGAGGGAACAAAAGAACAGUACAAUUGGAUCUGUCGAGAAAUUUGUUUGAGUUCGAUCUCUCCAAGGUUAAGUUCGGUAAGAGCAUGGCUUUGUUGGAUCUGAGCCAUAACCGAAUCUUCGGGACGCUUCCUAGGGAACUGACUGAGCUACGUCUCGAGCGUUUCAACAUUAGUUACAAUCGUCUAUGCGGAAAAAUCCCACGUGGUGGUCAACUUCAGACCUUUAAAUCAUAUGAAUUCGCUGAGAACCGCUGUCUUUGUGGGUCCCCACUUAAGAAGGCUUGUUAAGUUUGUUUUAAUGGCGUGACUACAAAUAACUACGUCUUAUCUGUACGAUGAGGA
rnacentral:lncRNA from 1 species